CCUACGGGUGGCUGCAGUGGGGAAUAUUGGACAAUGGGGGGAACCCUGAUCCAGCCAUGCCGCGUGUGUGAAGAAGGCCCUCGGGUUGUAAAGCACUUUCAGUGAGGAAGAAUGCCUGGUGGUUAAUACCCAUCAGGAAAGACAUCACUCACAGAAGAAGCACCGGCUAACUCCGUGCCAGCAGCCGCGGUAAUACGGAGGGUGCGAGCGUUAAUCGGAAUUACUGGGCGUAAAGCGCGCGUAGGUGGCUUGAUAAGCCGGUUGUGAAAGCCCCGGGCUCAACCUGGGAACGGCAUCCGGAACUGUCAAGCUAGAGUGCAGGAGAGGAAGGUAGAAUUCCCGGUGUAGCGGUGAAAUGCGUAGAGAUCGGGAGGAAUACCAGUGGCGAAGGCGGCCUUCUGGACUGACACUGACACUGAGGUGCGAAAGCGUGGGUAGCAAACAGGAUUAGAUACCCCUGUAGUC
rnacentral:rRNA from 1 species